CCCUUGCGCCCCUCAGCCAAGGUGUGAUGAGGAAGCCAGCGCCGUCCAGCUCAGCCACGGACAACCCCAAGAGGCCGCCGCAGUGUCAGAACAUUGCCAUCAGCAGGCCCCUGCAGGCCCUGGACCGCCGCCAGACCCCUGCCGGCCACCCCUGCGCUCAGGCAGGCCCAGGGGACCCGGAAGCCCAGCGCCCCUCAGAAGCCCCUGCCCGCAGUGCCUCUGAGCAAGACGGCCCGG